rnacentral:rRNA from 1 species
UGAAUACGAGACGCUAAGGCGUCGAAGUAGUGUAUGUCAUACUUCCAAGAAAAGCUUGCACUGUCAUAGAUAAAAAACGCCUGUACCAUAACCGACACAGGUGGGUAGGUAGAGUAUACUAAGGGGCGCGAGAUAACUCUCUCUAAGGAACUCGGCAAAAUAACUCCGUAACUUCGGGAGAAGGAGUGCCUUAUUCUUAAGGUUGCAAUAACAAGAUCCAAGCAACUGUUUAUCAAAAACACAGGUCUCCGCUAAGUCGUAAGACGAUGUAUGGGGGCUGACGCCUGCCCAGUGCCAGAAGGUUAAAGAAGCUGGUUAGCAUUUGCGAAGCUAGUAACUGAAGCCCUGGUGAACGGCGGCCGCAACGAUAACGGUCCUAAGGUAGCGAAAUUCCUUGUCGGGUAAGUUCCGACCCGCACGAAAGGCGUAAUGAUUUGGAUACUGUCUCGGAGAGGGGCUCGGUGAAAUAGACUUGUCUGUGAAGAUGCGGACUACCUGCACCAGGACAGAAAGACCCUAUGGAGCUUUACUGUAACUUGAAAUUGAAAUUGGACUUUAUUCGCGCAGUAUAGGUGGGAGGCGUUGAUUAUAAUCUUGCGGGAUUAUUGGAGCCAUUAGUGAGAUACCACUCUUGUAAUGUUAGAUUUCUAACUUUGAGUCAUUAUCUGGUCAAAGAACAGUUUCAGGCGGGCAGUUUGACUGGGGCGGUCGCCUCCCAAACGGUAACGGAGGCGUACAAAGGUUUCCUCUGAACGGUUAGAAAUCGUAUCUAGAGUGUAAAGGCAUAAGGAAGCUUGACUGUGAGACCUACAAGUCGAGCAGGGACGAAAGUCGGUCUUAGUGAUCUGACGGUACUGAGUGGAAAGGCCGUCACUCAACGGAUAAAAGUUACUCUAGGAUAACAGGCUGAUCUCCCCCAAGAGUUCACAUCGACGGGGAGGUUUGGCACCUCGAUGUCGGCUCAUCGCAUCCUGGGGCGGUAGUACGUCCCAAGGGUUGGGCUGUUCGCCCAUGAAAGCGGUACGCGAGCUGGGUUCAGAACGUCGUGAGACAGUUCGGUCCAUAUCCGGUGUAGGCGUUAGAAUAUUGAGAGGAGCCUUCUUUAGUACGAGAGGACCGAGAAGGACAUACCUCUGGUGUACCAGUUAUCGUGCCAACGGUAGACGCUGGGUAGCUAUGUAUGGAGUGGAUAACCGCUGAAAGCAUCUAAGUGGGAAGCCCACCUCAAGAUAAGUAUUCUCA